AAUUCAGCCCUCCGGUGAUACCUGGUUCAGUGAAGACUAGGCCUUGGGGAGUGUUUACGGCUCUGUCAUCAUAACAGCAUUAUGGCAGAAGUAUGGAACACCAGCAUAUACAGGAUGACUGCAAAGCGCAACGUUGCAAAGCUCACUUCUACAACCCUAGUCACCAAUGACAGUGCACCACCAUACCCCUUUGCUCACCAGUUGAAACAAACUACCGCCCUCGAGUCAGAAGGCUGUCCUCAUCGUCCAACACACAGCGGUAACAUCACCCCAGGACUUCAGCCCUCCGGUGAUACCUGGUUCAGCGAAGACUAGGCCUUGGGGAGUGUUUACGGCUCUGUCACCAAAACAGCAUUGUGCGGAAGUAUGGAACACCAGCAUAUACAUGUAAUGUAUCAGGACCUUCACAGGAUAACUUCAUCAGAUGACUGCAAAGCGCAACAUUGCAAAGCUUAUUUCUACAACCCUAGUCACCAAUGACAGUGCACCACCAUAUCCCUUUGCUCACCAGUUCAAACAAACUACCGCCCUCGAGUCAGAAGGCUGUCCUCAUCAUCCAACACACAGCGGUAACAUCACCCAAGGACUUCAGCCCUCCGGUGAUACCUCGUUCAGCAAAGACUAGGCCUUGGGGAGUGUUUACGGCUCUGUCAUCAUAACAGCAUUAUGGCAGAAGUAUGGAACACCAGCAUAUACAGGAUAACUUCUUCAGAUGACUGCAAAGCGCAACGUUGCAAAGCUCACUUCUACAACCCUAGUCACCAAUGACAGUGCACCACCAUACCCCUUUGCUCACCAGUUGAAACAAACUACCGCCCUCGAGUCAGAAGGCUGUCCUCAUCGUCCAACACACAGCGGUAACAUCAGCCCAGGACUUCAGCCCUCCGGUGAUACCUGGUUCAGCGAAGACUAGGCCUUGGGGAGUGUUUACGGCUCUGUCACCAAAACAGCAUUGUGCGGAAGUAUGGAACACCAGCAUAUACAUGUAAUGUAUCGGGACCUUCACAGGAUAACUUCAUCAGAUGACUGCAAAGCGCAACAUUGCAAAGCUCAUUUCUACAACCCUAGUCACCAAUGACAGUGCACCACCAUAUCCCUUUGCUCACCAGUUCAAACAAACUACCGCCCUCGAGUCAGAAGGCUGUCCUCAUCAUCCAACACACAGCGGUAACAUCACCCAAGGACUUCAGCCCUCCGGUGAUACCUCGUUCAGCAAAGACUAGGCCUUGGGGAGUGUUUACGGCUCUGUCAUCAUAACAGCAUUAUGGCAGAAGUAUGGAACACCAGCAUAUACAGGAUAACUUCUUCAGAUGACUGCAAAGCGCAACGUUGCAAAGCUCACUUCUACAACCCUAGUCACCAAUGACAGUGCACCACCAUACCCCUUUGCUCACCAGUUGAAACAAACUACCGCCCUCGAGUCAGAAGGCUGUCCUCAUCGUCCAACACACAGCGGUAACAUCACCCCAGGACUUCAGCCCUCCGGUGAUACCUGGUUCAGCGAAGACUAGGCCUUGGGGAGUGUUUACGGCUCUGUCACCAAAACAGCAUUGUGCGGAAGUAUGGAACACCAGCAUAUACAUGUAAUGUAUCGGGACCUUCACAGGAUAACUUCAUCAGAUGACUGCAAAGCGCAACAUUGCAAAGCUCAUUUCUACAACCCUAGUCACCAAUGACAGUGCACCACCAUAUCCCUUUGCUCACCAGUUCAAACAAACUACCGCCCUCGAGUCAGAAGGCUGUCCUCAUCAUCCAACACACAGCGGUAACAUCACCCAAGGACUUCAGCCCUCCGGUGAUACCUCGUUCAGCAAAGACUAGGCCUUGGGGAGUGUUUACGGCUCUGUCAUCAUAACAGCAUUAUGGCAGAAGUAUGGAACACCAGCAUAUACAGGAUAACUUCUUCAGAUGACUGCAAAGCGCAACGUUGCAAAGCUCACUUCUACAACCCUAGUCACCAAUGACAGUGCACCACCAUACCCCUUUGCUCACCAGUUGAAACAAACUACCGCCCUCGAGUCAGAAGGCUGUCCUCAUCGUCCAACACACAGCGGUAACAUCACCCCAGGACUUCAGCCCUCCGGUGAUACCUGGUUCAGCGAAGACUAGGCCUUGGGGAGUGUUUACGGCUCUGUCACCAAAACAGCAUUGUGCGGAAGUAUGGAACACCAGCAUAUACAUGUAAUGUAUCGGGACCUUCACAGGAUAACUGCUUCAGAUGACUGCAAAGUGCAACGUUGCAAAGCUCAUUUCUACAACCCUAGUCAUCAAUGACAGUGCACCACCAUAUCCCUUUGCUCACCAGUUCAAACAAACUACCGCCCUCGAGUCAGAAGGCUGUCCUCAUCAUCCAACACACAGCGGUAACAUCACCCAAGGACUUCAGCCCUCCGGUGAUACCUCGUUCAGCAAAGACUAGGCCUUGGGGAGUGUUUACGGCUCUGUCAUCAUAACAGCAUUAUGGCAGAAGUAUGGAACACCAGCAUAUACAGGAUAACUUCUUCAGAUGACUGCAAAGCGCAACGUUGCAAAGCUCACUUCUACAACCCUAGUCACCAAUGACCGUGCACCACCAUAUCCCUUUGCUCACCAGUUCAAACAAACUACCGCCCUCGAGUCAGAAGGCUGUCCUCAUCGUCCAACACACAGCGGUAACAUCACCCCAGGACUUCAGCCCUCCGGUGAUACCUGGUUCAGCGAAGACUAGGCCUUGGGGAGUGGUUACGGCUCUGUCAUAACAGCAUUGUGGCACAAGUAGCCUCGAUCUCGACCAAGACAUUUUGAAUGCCACUCUGUAUUGCUCAGCAUAAUUUUUUUUUCUUUAUUCAUACUAACGUGUGUUCAUGUCCAUUUUUCCACCUCUGAUUCUUACAUUUAUUUUCUGAUACCAUGUUUCUGUGUGAUUUUAGUCUUAUUUUUACUGGUAUGACAAUGUAAACAUAUACCUUUGUUCCACACAAGAUAUUUUGGGAUUUUGUGUGCACUUCAAUGUAACUACAUGUAUUUUUAUAUGAUAGUUUUUGUUUCUGAUUGUUCAAUUCCUUUUACGCUCUCAUUCCUUUAUAGUUGUAUCUUAUUUGAGACAGAGGAAGAGAGAGGGUGAAUAGUAGAGAGAGAGAGAGAGAGGGGGAUGCAGAAACAAAGCGCCAUUCAUGAUGUAUUUUAUUACAUUUGUGUUUUAACUUUGCACAUACAUUGCAAGAUUUUGGGGAUUUAACACGUUUAUUUUUCUGUAAGUUUGUAAAUCCUUGUAUUCACACAGUGUUUUGAGUGAUAUAUUGUAAAGAUAGAUCUUAUGCAUGCUCCUUGGGGAAAAGAAGUUAUACAUGCAUGUCACUCUUCUUAUCUUGGCAUUACCGUAAUUCUUAUAUUGGUUGAUGUUGCUGAUAUAUGAAACAGAAUCUGAUGGAUAUCAUUGAUAACAAUUACUGUUUGUCUUCUUUUAACAUCAGGAUAACAGAUCUUAGUAGUACAGCGAAAGACAAUUCACUGUAAUUUGUUCUAUUGUCAUAUAUUACACGAUUAUGAUUUUCAAUGGCACAUGUUUGUACACUACAAUUUUAUGUCAUUAGAGGUCACAUAUCCAGUUUGUUUUGUGAAUAGUCAAUAUUGGAUUAUGAUUAUAAUGUCAGUUUAUUUGCAACAUUUACCCCAUAUAUAGUGGUACCUUACGAUCAACUGUCAAUAUCUACUGCAUUCACUAUACAUAGCAGUGUCUUGCUUGCUGUAACAAAGAGGUAUAUAGGGCUGUUAGGGAUUAUCCAUAAUGUACAUUGUUUUUUAGUUUUAUUUUAAUUGUGUUUAUCUGAACUUAUAUCUCACUUGCUAUGUAGGGGGCCUUUCAUAUAAUCAGUACCAGUAGGUAUCUUGUUUAUGUACCUGUUUUAUAUAUGUAUUCCAUUUCUGUUGAAUAUAUAUACAUGUUAAAAUGCCCUUUUUAGAGAUUUGUACAAUGCUGCUCUUUUCAGUAUGUGCUUUUAUUUUGGUAUAUCAAAUUUAAUUGGAUAUGCUGUUUUUAAAAUUUAUUUCUUUUAAAAUGUGUUUGAAGAUGAUAGGUGAUUACCAUUUGUAAUAUUGCAUUGCGGUUCUUUUUUAGAUCGCCAAGGAAAUAGCGUGAUGUUAAGUUUGGUGCAGAAUGUCAUUUACAUGCAUGUAGAUAGGUCUAUGCAAUUUAGCUUUGACUUUGGUUUGAUAAGCUUUGUUUAGUGCUUUGAACAUGAAUUUAACAAUGAAUA
rnacentral:lncRNA from 1 species